AGUGAACGCUGGCGGCAGGCCUAACACAUGCAAGUCGAGCGGCAGCGCGGGGGCAACCCUGGCGGCGAGCGGCGGACGGGUGAGGAAUUCGUCGGAAUCUGCCUUUUUGUGGGGGAUAACGUAGGGAAACUUACGCUAAUACCGCAUACGUCCUACGGGAGAAAGUGGGGGACCGCAAGGCCUCACGCAGAAAGAUGAGCCGACGACCGAUUAGCUAGUUGGUGGGGUAAAGGCCCACCAAGGCGACGAUCGGUAGCUGGUCUGAGAGGAUGAUCAGCCACACUGGGACUGAGACACGGCCCAGACUCCUACGGGAGGCAGCAGUGGGGAAUAUUGGACAAUGGGCGCAAGCCUGAUCCAGCCAUGCCGCGUGUGUGAAGAAGGCCUGCGGGUUGUAAAGCACUUUUGUCCGGAAAGAAAUCCCUGGAGCUAAGACCUUCGGGGGAUGACGGUACCGGAAGAAUAAGCACCGGCGAACUUCGU
rnacentral:rRNA from 1 species